CUUGUGAUACGCGGUCGAAUUAGCCAGCAACGCUAACUCAACUUGACUAAGGCCACCGCCCACAAGCCCUCUGCGACAAUAGAUCCGUGUCCUGUAUUUGCGCAGCAACGACUGCACCGUUGACGGAAGUUCCGAAUUGGCUGUUUCUCAAUAUUUUUUCAUCAAUUUUUUUUCCAGCUCUAGGAAAUUGUCAUGCCGCACCUAUCGGCCCUGUCGGAUUUCGCGAGUAGGCUCGUACUCUCAAAGCGCCCGAAAUCCUCUCGCUGUUUGACGAAAUUCGCUACUACACCCUCUACCCUAGGCGUUCACCACGAAAGGCGUCGGUCUAAGUAUUCAACAAGCCGGUGAUUAUUAUCUUUUAAUUAAGCUAAAUCUCAACAUGCACUUUCUCCGCAGCGUGCAGUUUGCGAUCUUGCACACCACCAACGACUUGACCAGUCCGAGAUAAGCCGGAUGCAUCUCCCAGCUUACCCGCUCUCAGGUGGGUCGAUGUGACCCAAAUAGACAACGUCAGGCAGUUCUACACGAACCGUAAGCUGCAGGACUUGAAACAUUACUCGAAGCACGUGGGGCGGGCCCUAGUAUGGGUUCAGACUCUGACGAAGCAUAAGGCGUACAGCAAGUAGCACAACACAACCGUACUAGUGCGGGCAGGCAAAAACAAAGCUGGCGCUGAAAGUGAUAAAUCUCCUUAACUACCGCCACUACAGCCGGUCUGGGACCGUCACCACCGGACAUGCCGAUGACGGACCUGUCCGUUGCCGGAGAUUACCGGUUUCUUCAUAAAGGCAGGAGCGUGUCGAUGUACUUCAGCAGAAUACUACGGACAUGCAGAUUCACAGUCCCCAACCGAAUAGCGAUGCCAGAUCAACCAGAUCCGGAACCAGCAGCACAAUGGGUCACCGCAUAUGAUCAAGGCAGGCGGCCGCGACGGAAGUGGUGAUGUGCAGCUGUUUCAACAAUGUGCCAGACGAUGUGUUAGGUUCCUCGAAGGGCAUUUGGAUGCACUGGAACCAAUCGCCCGGGAGGACCGAUAGGCUACCAUGAAAUCCGACCCAGAUAGACCAGAUUGUUGAUGAUUUGUUUUAUCAAUUUGAUCUCUGUUACCAGAAAAAAGGUUUACCGAUGACUGAAAGAUGGAUGCUGGCUCCCAACACCAAGAUUGUGUUCUACGACAACAAUUGUACCAUUCUGCAACGUCUGUACAGCAAAAGCAUCUUGGUGGUGUGCAACAUGAUUGGCCGACUGCCAAUUUCCUGUCCUAGAUGCGGCCAAGCUGACCAACGCCGUCUUCAACUUGGACACCGAAAGUAAAUUCUAGUCAGCGUACAGCGACCAACACGCCUAUCUUCAGCCUGAAGUCGGUGAAUUCCGCCGAGAGGCUGCUCGUGGAACACUCGCUUGACACGGAUGUGGUCCAUGGCUACCUCGAGCUUUUAUGGCUUCGGGUAACGGUAACAAGGAAAAAGCUCACCCUGAGCAGUCGGGCAGCGAACGUUAAUUCUAAUCCAAAUGCUGAAUGCGUCCCAACAGCAGCAGCAAAAAAACGGACCAGUGGCCAGUCGUUUUGCCGAAUCGUUAUCGUAGUCCAACUGAAAUAGCAACUUCCAUCCGAUCCCGAAAGCACCAACAUUUCCGGUUAGAGCUUGACGACCAGCGAACAUUCUUGCGAUGGCUCUCGUGG
rnacentral:lncRNA from 1 species